GCAUUACAGGAAGUUUUGGAGAGGAGAAGCUGAUCAGCAACAAGGAGCCUGAGCAGGUACGGUGCGGGCCUUUCCCAGGCGUGGCUGAGGAUUUGAGGUGAGGUAGAAUGGAUGCCACGGGCAGCCUCACAGCCACAGUGCUGGAG